rnacentral:snRNA from 1 species
UUUUGUAACUUUUUGUUU